ensembl:lncRNA
UUUUUACUAAAGAUCCCUGCCUACCUGAGGUCUUCUGAAGGAGUCUCUCAAAACUUAUACUGAAAGGUUUCUUUUAACAAAAUGAGAAAAUUCAUGAUCAAGCAUAUUAAUGUCCCGAUGAAAUGAAAAAUUAGUCAAGAGGAGGUGAAGCAAUGGAAUAAACCUAAGGAACUUUGAGGUAGAUAUCUUGCUGUCAUGACACCAGAGAAGCAUGAAGCAUGAACUCAAGCAUAUCCUGAAGUUAAACAAAUAAACAACAAAACCCUUAAAAACAGGUGAAGGAGGAAGAUAAAAGAAAAAUGAAUUUCCACAGUUUUAAAAACAUCUAACGAGGCUUCAGAUUCUUGUUUUUUGAGCAAGUGUUUUAAUAAUACUACUUGGAUUUGUAUACUGAUGAUCAUAGUGGAUUUUAACUCUUUGAAAACUCAUCUGACUUUCUCUGGGAUGCUGCUGGGUUUAUUAGCCAAGGAUCUUGUAUCAGAGAUAUUCCAUUUUGGGUACAGAAAGGAUUGAAGGAAUUCUUAAAUAAGAUAUACACAUUGCACAAUCUAAACCUGAAUGAAUGUAAGUCUGUAUGUAUUGCACACCUUCCUUUCUUAAAAUCAAUUUUAGAACAGCUGUUACAUUCAGCAGUAAAUAUCUCUGGCUGUCUUUCAGAGCCUUAUCCUCCCUUUUGUCAACACAUUGUCCUUUAUGCACUUGAAAAAUAUCUUUAAACCU